rnacentral:lncRNA from 1 species
UUUGGAGGACUUCGCUGCUCUGCACUAGAACUCUGGCGCUUGAUCUCUCUGGCGCUUGAUCUCUCUGACUUCGCUGCUCGGCUCUGCUCUUCCCGGGACGGCUCUAGCAUGGACUUUGCUCGGCCUCGGUUGUGACCCUUUGCGGUCCCAUCUUUUGUUCGUUCUUAUUGUUUUCGUUCUCCUUUCGCUUGGGUUUUUUUUUUGUCUUUUUCUGGUUUUGGUUUUUCCGGACUCUCCUUGUUUGCGCCUGUGCUCUCAAGGGUUUUUGUUUUUCUUCAAUAAAAUUUCUAUUUCAGCAGAUAUGAUCGUCGCCAGUAUAUAUGGAAUUUCACCGGUUGAAAUGAUGUGAACCUCGCCGGUAACCUCUUGAACUUCACCGGAAUGAACAAAUAAAUAC